rnacentral:rRNA from 1 species
UACGGAGGAUGCGAGCGUUAUCCGGAUUUAUUGGGUUUAAAGGGUGCGUAGGCGGGAUGCCAAGUCAGCGGUAAAAAUGCGGUGCUCAACGCCGUCGAGCCGUUGAAACUGGCGUUCUUGAGUGGGCGAGAAGUAUGCGGAAUGCGUGGUGUAGCGGUGAAAUGCACAGAUAUCACGCAGAACUCCGAUUGCGAAGGCAGCAUACCGGCGCCCUACUGACGCUGAGGCACGAAAGCGUGGGUAUCGAGCAGG